UACGUAGGGUGCGAGCGUUGUCCGGAAUUAUUGGGCGUAAAGGGCUCGUAGGCGGUUUGUCGCGUCGGGAGUGAAAUCCACUGGCUUAACUGGUGGCUUGCUUUCGAUACGGGCAGACUGGAGGCAUGCAGGGGAGAACGGAAUUCCUGGUGUAGCGGUGAAAUGCGCAGAUAUCAGGAGGAACACCGGUGGCGAAGGCGGUUCUCUGGCAAUGUUCUGACGCUGAGGAGCGAAAGUGUGGGGAGCGAAACAGG
rnacentral:rRNA from 1 species